rnacentral:rRNA from 1 species
AUUGAACGCUGGCGGCAUGCCUUACACAUGCAAGUCGAACGGCAGCACGGUGGCAACCCUGGUGGCGAGUGGCGAACGGGUGAGUAAAGCAUCGGAACGUGCCCAAUAGUGGGGGAUAGCCCGGCGAAAGCCGGAUUAAUACCGCAUACGACCUGAGGGUGAAAGCGGGGGAUCGCAAGACCUCGCGCUACUGGAGCGGCCGAUGUCAGAUUAGGGUAGUUGGUGGGGUAAAGGCCUACCAAGCCUGCGAUCUGUAGCUGGUCUGAGAGGACGACCAGCCACACUGGGACUGAGACACGGCCCAGACUCCUACGGGAGGCAGCAGUGGGGAAUUUUGGACAAUGGGCGCAAGCCUGAUCCAGCCAUGCCGCGUGCGGGAAGAAGGCCUCGGUUGUAAGCACUUUCGACGGGGACGGAUGAUGACGGUACCCGUAGAA